AGUUCAAUGCGAGCUGAGCAGACAGGGCUGCAAGGAAAUCUGGCGCGGUUCAAUACCUCGUCUAGCCUGGGUUCCAGUAUCUAAUUUUUUUUUUGUUUUAACUGACAAACUCAUUUCUCUACUGGGACAGGAUGCUGUGCUGGCUGGAAGUUCCAUUUCUACAGCAAGAAUCCUAUCUGGAAACACAGAAGUUGUCCUCUAGCCACAGCAGCUCGAACUUUUUUGAUUGUCGUUGCUGCUUUCUCCCAUCACCCCCAUCCCCUUUUGACAAAGAUCCAACUGUAAAAAGUCUUACGUAACAGUUCAGGACUACUUCGGUUCUUUUACUGGAUCAUAUAAAUCUUUCGCCUUUUAAAUCAUGUAUUAAAAAAAAAGAAAAAGGAAAAACAAAGAUUUCUUUUAGAUGCAGAAUCUACCUACAUUCGGCUGAAAAUCAGAUGGAAGAAUCCACAGAGGAAAGGAAGGAAAGGCGAACUGUCCUGUGGAAAGCACAGCUGCAGGGAUAGUAGAAAGUAACAGGCUCUCGAUCCGUGGGAGGUGGUCACUUUGGAGGACAGAUAAGUCAUCCUCAGAGAACGAACACAAUGAAGGAAAUUCCAGCCUAUUCAUGUUCUCCUCUCAGGCUGUACCUCAACAAGAUCCAACUGGACUUUGUGAUCUCAUAACCUGUCAAGGGGCCUGGCAUGGAGUAGAUAAUAAAUGUUUUUUUUAAUCAAAUGAA
rnacentral:lncRNA from 1 species